UACGUAGGGACCAAGCGUUGUUCGGAUUUACUGGGCGUAAAGGGCGCGUAGGCGGCAAUUCAAGUCAGCUGUGAAAUCUCCGAGCUUAACUCGGAACGGUCAGCUGAUACUGUUUUGCUAGAGUACAGAAGGGGCAAUCGGAAUUCUUGGUGUAGCGGUGAAAUGCGUAGAUAUCAAGAGGAAUACCCUGAGGUGAAGACGGGUUGCUAGGCCGACACUGACGGCUGAAGCGACGAAAGCCAGGGGAGCAAACGGG
rnacentral:rRNA from 1 species